rnacentral:tRNA from 1 species
GGGGAUAUAGCUCACCUGGUAGAGCGCUUGAAUGGCAUUCAAGAGGCAAGGGGUUCGACUCCCCUUAUCUCCACCA